UGACUGAGGGACAAUAUUCCUAAGUAUGGCCUCAAGCAAGCGAGGUUAGUAAGCAUCAUUGGUUUGUUAUGUGGCACUCUGAACAAACUUGAUGUUGAAUUUGAAUUUCAAACAAAAAUACAAAGCUUAUGACCAUUUUCUGUGGAGAAUGAUGUGGAUGCCAGUGGCCUUUUUUUUUUCGGGGGAGGGAUCGGAGUUUACUUAAAUGUGCAAACUGGUUCUGAAUUACAGUUGAUCUUAUGGUAAUGUUGCAAAUUAUUUUGAAAGCAAACCAUUACAGUACUGUGUAGAAGCAGUUGAAAAAAAAAGAAGAGUUUACCAGAAACGUUUAACAAACAUUUGUAAUGAUAAGUUUGAUUAUACCUCACAGAAGUCUUUUCCCCCCUAGGCUUUCCAAGGAAGUACAAAAAAGCUCAAGAUAUUUUUAACAAUGCUACCAGAGGAGGAAAGAGCCAGGCCAAUGAUUGUCACAGUCUCAGCGCUUGAGAACAAGGAGCCAAUUACGAAAUUUUUUUUCAAUUGUCUGGCUUUGGUUCAGAAAGAUGCCAGUCCUACAAAACAAAUGCCUCACAAACCUUCAUCAGGGAUCAUAGUAACAGUGUAAGCUCAAAUAUUUUUAAGAAUCAAAAACCAUUUUCUCAAUAAUAAAAUAUUCCAGAAAUAUGUGGUGCUUAAGGUUGCCCAAGUCAAUUUGAUUCUGAAAGUCUCAUGAGAAUGCUGGGGAUUGCACAGUAGGCAGAGUCCUGGCCUCCCACUGCUGUGGCCAGGGUUUAAUUCCAAGAGCUGGCAUCACCUGUGGGUUCAGUUUGUUGUUGGUUCUCAUCCUUGGCUCAGUGGUUUUUCUCCAGGUCCCCAGUUUUGCUCCCUUCCACAAAAACCAACAUUACAAAUUCCAAUUCGACCAGGAAACAGUGGACAAGAAGAGCCACCACAUUGAAUAACCACUGCUACAAUGCAAUUGUUAUAAUUAUAGUUGCUU